rnacentral:lncRNA from 1 species
GGCUUCCGCGCUCUUUGAAAUGUCCGGCGCCGGAAUGUCUGGGUGCUUUGGUUGGAGAGGGUCCCAUUUCCAGUCAUUCUUCAGCCUGGUGAUUCCCGCGCUCCCCUGAGGAGCAUAUGAAGUACGUCGGUUCUGCCAGGUUGGAACGCGCUGCUGGACACUCGGCCGUAAGGCGGAUCCCGGAUCCCCUCCCACUCCGACCCUUCCCUCCAGAAGGGCCGGUUCCCAAACGGCCCCUUUAGACACAUCCAAGCGGUUGCCGACGGCCCUCACGAUGAAAACUGCUGUCCGUUGGUGAAGGCAGCCUCUUCUGUGCUCCUCGCCGCUGACUUCCUGAGGCGGACCUACCUGUGGAGGCAUACCAGGAACCAGACGAUGACCCCCUCCAAAAGUUGGGUCUUUGAGGAGAGCUACUAACUUGGGUUCCUGGUACACCCUCUACAUGCAGUGGUGAAGCUUAUCUAACAGUCAUUCAUAGAAUCAGUUUGGGAAGGGGAAUUUUCACUGAACUCUCAUAGAGAAACUGUGUUUUAGAUAACAGAAAGUUCUGCACGGUUAAAAUGGAACAGAAAUUUUUUUGCACAGAAAUUAGGAUUACCGAAAAUACUGAAGAAAGACUACCUCUGAUUGGACUCUUCUCAAGGAAUUAAUAAUUCAAGAACUAAGGAAAGAAAAAAAAUGUCACAUAAAUGGAAUCAUACUGUGUCCGGAAUUGGUGGGUUCUUGGUCUCACUGACUUCAAGAAUGACGCCAUGGGCCCUCGCGGUGAGUGUUACAGCUCUUAAGGUGGCGCGUCUGGAGUUUGUUCCUUCUGAUGUUCGGAUGUGUUCGGAGUUUCUUCCUUCUGGUGGGUUCGUGGUCUCGCUGGCUCAGGAGUGAAGCUGCAGACUUUCGCGAUUUCAUCUCUCUCUCUGCUAUGGACACAGAUGGCUUCACUCCAUCCUGUAUUCUUCGGACCAUGAUAAAAUUCCAGACUCUCGGUAGUUUUUGCGUUCCAAGAAGUAGAGCCUAGAGUGGUGGCCUAUAAUUACAGUUACUCAGGAGGCUGAGGCAGGAGGAUCCUUUGAGUCCAGCAGUUUGAGGCCAGCCUGGACACCACAGCAAGACCACCAAUAAAUAAAUAAAUAAAUGGAA